GUUUGUUUUCCCCAGUUGGUGGGCGUUGUCGAGGGCAGUUAAUUCUUAUGACAUGAAUACUGACUCGGAGUAAUACUGUACAGGAAGAGCCUGACACUAAACACUGUGUGAAUGUUACUGUUCCACAUAAGACCUUUCAGCCUUAUGUUGUUUUUUUACUCUUCUACAACCCUGUUAUCACAGGGUCCCAAGUGCAUUAACACAUUUUGUGUGACACAAUCCUUUUAUUUUGCACAUGAAUAUAUGUAACUCUAAUAAUGGAGACAAAGAAAUUAAUCAAACAUAAAAAAAGUUGUAUCUGUGAAUCCUGUCUUUUUUUUUCUUUGAAAUUGAAUCAGUUACUAUUUGUUUUGUAAAGGAUGGUUUUCUAAUGUGUUGUUGAGAUUAAUUCUACAUGGGUAAAAAAAACAACGCUUACCACAUACAGUAUGGGCCUCUAUUGGAGUCUAGGACGUGAUUGGUUCUUCUCUGAGAUAUUGAUUACAUGAUUGUAUUGUGCAUCUCUGAGAAACUGUCAUGUUUGCGAUCGCCCACAAUGAUUGUGCGUUAGUGAAACGUACAGUCCGUAGGAGAAACAGGUACAACAAAACGAACCAAGCUAUCAUAAGUGCUUUAUAUAGGCCUAUUAUGCAUUUUGUAGAAACAAAUAGAAUAUUCUAUAAUUGUGGUACAACAAAGGUCAACUAUUCUGCAUUUUGGACGGAUGUCUUUGUCAACUUGUGUAAUGAAAUUGUAAAGCGUUUGAUUGACAUUGGAAAAUUGUGUAUUAUAAUAACAUACAACGCAUUUAUGAACCAAACAAGCUACACUUAAAUCUAUUGUAGCAAAAUGUCAGUCUACAAUCAUUUGUGUUUUAGUUAAUGAUUCAUUUCUAUUUUAUUGUUGAGUAUAGAAUUGUUGUACUCUUGAAACAUUCAAUCUCCUUCAAUCAAUCAAGAGUGUGAAGGUGAAGAUACAGGGAACUCAAUGCACAGAUUAAAUGACCAAUUGAAUGAUGUGACAAUAUUCUAUUGUGAAUAAUGGACAUCAUGCCAAAGAUAUUAUGCUGUUUCCACACGGGAUGUAAGGUGGUUGUGCACAUUUUCUGUUUUUUGUUCGAAAGGCAUUUUAUUACAGCAGCGAAAUUGACACAUGUUCAAUAAAUGUAAACCAGAAAUACUUUUCUUUGCAAUGUUGUGUUCUUUGUUUGUGUUCCACACGGCUGAAUGAUUUGAAAGCUGCAUUUAAA
ensembl:lncRNA